AGUCGAGGGGUAUAAGUCUUCGGAUUUAGAGACCGGCGCACGGGUGCGUAACGCGUAUGCAAUCUACCUUUUACAGAGGGAUAGCCCAGAGAAAUUUGGAUUAAUACCUCAUAGUAUUAUGAAAUGGCAUCAUUUUAUAAUUAAAGUCACAACGGUAAAAGAUGAGCAUGCGUCCCAUUAGCUAGUUGGUAAGGUAACGGCUUACCAAGGCUACGAUGGGUAGGGGUCCUGAGAGGGAGAUCCCCCACACUGGUACUGAGACACGGACCAGACUCCUACGGGAGGCAGCAGUGAGGAAUAUUGGACAAUGGGCGCAAGCCUGAUCCAGCCAUGCCGCGUGCAGGAUGACGGUCCUAUGGAUUGUAAACUGCUUUUGUACGAGAAGAAACACUCCAACGUGUUGGAGCUUGACGGUAUCGUAAGAAUAAGGAUCGGCUAACUCCGUGCCAGCAGCCGCGGUAAUACGGAGGAUCCAAGCGUUAUCCGGAAUCAUUGGGUUUAAAGGGUCCGUAGGCGGUUUGGUAAGUCAGUGGUGAAAGCCCAUCGCUCAACGGUGGAACGGCCAUUGAUACUGCCAGACUUGAAUUAUUAGGAAGUAACUAGAAUAUGUAGUGUAGCGGUG
rnacentral:rRNA from 1 species